CAUGCAAAAGACAAUUAGUGGGGGAGUUACUGUUUCAGAGCUUCAGCUUCCUGAAGAGCUCCGUGUCCUUCCUACGGACAGCUGCAGUCCAUUUCAUAGCAUUAAUAGCUGAGAAGAUAAACCUGCAUUCCAUACAUGAGGAUGAUGUGCAGCUGUUACGAAAUGCUCUUGAAAGUAUGAAGAAUGAUCCUGUGGAAUCUAUCCAGAUUCUCGUGACUACUCUUCUUCAAAAUAUUGAGGAAUAUGUUAAUCCUGAGGACAGCUCUACUUCCAUUAUAAGUACUCGCUUCUUCCGAUUACGUGGCAGGAAAGCCCGAAAAAGAAAGAGGCACCUAUUUAAGACUGUCAGACAGGAAGGAGAUAAUGAUACUGAUCGGCCCAGGAAUUGGCUCCUAGGCCCUCUAAAUUUACUGUGGAACUGGUGCAAGGGAGUGUAAAAAAUACUCCCCUUAUAAUAGGCAACUUAGAAAAGUCAACACAGUCACAAGCACCAAAGUCUGAAAGUCCCCCUGAGGAAACUGAAUUGAUCCCAAAACAAGUUGCUCCUGAGUCACUGUGAACAUUUAGAACUGGUGGCUAAAGCCUUUUCCAGUUGUUUAUUCAGACGUCAGUGCUGGACUCUGCUGUAGUCUCUCCCACCUUUUUUCCAACUGGA